rnacentral:ncRNA from 1 species
GGCCCUAAAAAGCCCUCUACACAUAAAAGUUUGGUCCUAACUUUAAAGUCAAUUAUCCCCCAACUUACACAUGCAAGUCUCCUCACCCCUGUGAGUACGCCCUUUAGUUUCCCCCUCGAAAUAAGGAGCCGGUAUCAGGCACAAUAAUUUGCCCAAAACACCUAGCAACAGCCACACCCACAAGGGCCACAGCAGUGAUUAACAUUAAAUAUAAGCGUCAGCUUGAUCUAGUUAGAGUGAUACGGGCCGGCCAAACUGGUGCCAGCCGCCGCGGUUACACCACGGGGCCCAAAUUGACUACUUUCGGCGUAAAGCGUGGUUAAAGCUACAAGCUAAUAAAGUCAAACCUGAGCUGGGCAGUGACAUGCCCGCCCAAAAGAAGCUCAAAGACGAAAGUUACUUUAUACCCGCAACUUGAACCCACGACAACCAAGACUCAAACUAGGAUUAGAUACCCUACUAUGCCUGGUUAUAAACUUUAAAUUACCCCCACAUCGCCAAGGGACUACGAGCAAUGCUUAAAACCUAAAGGACCUGACGGUACCCCACAUCCCCCUAGAGGAGCCUGUCCUAUAAUCGAUAAUCCCCGCUUAACCUCACCACUUCUAGCUUUCAGCCUGUAUACCUCCGUCCCAGCUCACCCUGUGAAUGAAUCAGUAAGCUUAAACGUCCUAAACCAACACAUCAGGUCAAGGUGCAGCAAAUGAAGUGGGAAGAGAUGGGCUACACUUUCUACCUUAGAAAAUACGAAAAGUCAUUAUGCAACCUGACCAGAAGGCGGAUUUAGCAGUAAAAAGACAAUAGAGUACUCUUUUUAACCCGGCACUGGGGUGUGUACACACCGCCCGUCACCCUCUUCGAAACAUAGCAGUAGUAAUUAACAAACCUAAGUAACUAAGAAGAGGCAAGUCGUAACACGGUAAGUAUACCGGAAGGUGUGCUUGGCAA